GCCUGUGUUUGAUUUUUUUUUUUACUUUAAUUUUAUUUUUAGGACUUUAGUUUUAUGUGGCAGUUUGGGAUUUGAAUUACAUAUUUCUUAUUCAAAUGCCCAUAGCAAGGGUUCAGAAAAUCUAAUUUACAUUAAAUAACUUCAUAGCCUAAUACAAUUUAAGAUUACAAUUCUAUUUUUUAAAUUAUUUGGAUGUGAAAGUGCAAACUGCAAUGUUUGAUUCUCACAUUGGUAGAAGCUCAUUUUACCUGCCAUAUUUAUUCUAGGUAAACAGGCCUAUAAAUUACGUGUGUGGGGGAUUUUGAAAGGUUUCAGAUUUACUAGUACAUUUUCAUUAUCAUUUUAGAAUCAGUCUAGCAUCAAAGGUGGAGUAGGCCUAUACUAAACAAGCUACACAGAUAUUGGAAACUUUCCAAAUGUAACAUAAGUUGCACAACAUACCCUGAAUGUUUACAAAUACAGUAGGACAUGAUGUUUUUCAACUUUUUUGGCAACCUCCGCUCCUCUCCACUCCCAUAACAACCAACGCCUGCUUACUAGGCUAGACCCAGUACGUAACUAAACAGAUAGAGAUACAGUUCUUGAUCAAGUUAUGGGACGUCCCAAGUUAACUAUUUAAGCAGCGUUUAAACACAUUUUUUGUUUGUGUUACGCUUUAAGAUUUGUAAAACUGCACCGUGGCCCUAAAUUGAAGCAGGGACCUUUCGACAUAUUUAUUUAAAACAUAAAUACAUCGAUACCUGACAGACUGGUAUUUUUAUGUAAUGUUCAGAAAAGAAAAAACAACAACAAUGCCCCGCAGUUUAUUUACUGCAAUUUGUUUGGGAAAACACAGAAAAGGUGGAAGAAGUAGAGGAGAGAGAUGAAGAGGAUUUGGGAGGAAAAUUCACAAGACAGUGGAUCAAAACCAGCAAAUGCGAAAAAUCUUGUUAAACAGAAAAGUAUGAGUGAGCUGAAACCACACAUCUCUCACGAUGCAGAAAGACCUGAGAGUCAAUCUGAUGUAUCAGAAUCAAAGACGAGUGUCCAGAAGAAUCUCCAGCAGAUCAUCUGAACACCCACCAAACAAAUCUCUCUCUCACGUUUCUUCAAAUGGAGCUGCAAUAGUUAAUUGUUUCCAGACCUGGCUCCAUCCAAUCAGGAGCUAGGUCCACACACUGGUGACACGCCAAAUAACAACCGACUGCAAAAAUGCUGGAAUGUUCAAUUCAGCUCCAGAUUUUGAAGGAGAUCAUGCUCUUCGGCAGCUUGGUAUCAAAAACCUGCUUGUUAUUUAGAAUAUAGAGAGCAUGUAAGUCUUACCAGUUACUGUAUUACCCUAAUAUAAAGGAAUUUCUGUAUUGAUAUUCUGUAUUGUUUUUACUGUAUUUUAAAUUUUGCGCUUCAUUGCAUUGUGUAUUAGGGUUAAUGGAAAUGUCUGUAAAAUGAAUAGAUAAUGUUCUGCCACAAAAUUACUAGUACAUGUUCCGUUGUUUUUUGUUGUUGUUGUUGAUUUAAACAGUGUACUCACAUAUCAGAUAGCACAUAUCAGACAUUACUGAACUUUUCACUUUUGGGUCUAAUCGUGCUUAAACAUACAUAUACACCCAAAAUGAAGUUAAAUUAUUGGCUGUUUGGCGAGUACCCUCGUCAGGACAAUCUUAACUGAGUUAAUAAAAUGGCUAAAAGAAUGUAAAUAGUUGGGAGAAAAACCAAAGACAGUAGCUUUAUAAACCUGCUGCUUUCUUGUGUCAUUAAUGUGAAAUAAAAGAAACUUAACUUCAUUAACUUGACAUAACUUCUUACUAAAGAUUAAGCUAUAUUUAUGGCUUACAGUAUGCUUACAUUACAGUAGGCUGUUUCAUACCUGAAUUGUAUUUAUUUGUGCUUUUGCUUGUAAUUUUAUUAGAUUGUUUACUUGUCUUUUUACAUUUUUUAUUUUGUUUUGUUUUAUUUUUUGCCCACCUGGAAUGUUCAUUGGUCCCACCUUUCAUCUCCAAAGCUGGAGCUGACUGUAUCUUCAAAUAUAUUGUGUAUAUGUAAAUAUUUUGUAUACUGUAUGUACAUUCUGCUUUAUAACUUUGUAUCUGUAAAUUGAUGUGUAAUGCCACAGGAUGAAGUAUCAAAUGGUUGACAUAUGCUCUUUGUUAUAAAUUGUAUGUCACGUGACUAAAGGCAUAAAGUUUUCAUGUCUUUUGUUGAUAACAAACAUACAUCAAUUGUAACGCAUCUAUGUUUCUACACUUUAUUGUAAAUCUGAUUUUUAAACAUUUUAGAGAAGUAUGUGUCACAUAGAGUCUUUGCUAUCAAAACAUUCUGACAAAUAAGUAGCCAAGCGUCAAUGUGAGAUGAGUUGUGAGUGAGAACGUGUUGCUCUGCACUCCCACCACUCACCAUCAUGGACA